GGACUGAGAAACGUUGACAGGCUGAGCCAGCCUAUAGCUUUGAUCGGGCUGGGCGAUCAAGAUGGGCUGAUUCUGCAAAGACUCAGCGGGUGGGGAGGACAACAGGCUGGCAUAGCUGGGGCCAGCCUGGGGCGGGGGGGGCGCCUCUUCGCCAAGCUGCGGAGGGUUCUCCAGGUUCUCAGAAGCGCCAAGGCCAUCCCCACUCUGACCGCCAGAGCCCACCUGCCGUGCCGCCCCCGCGUCUGGGGGCUGGAUCACCUCAGACGGCUGAGGUUUCACUGGCACGUGAAGCGCGGGAGCCGCUGGGGCCAGAAGGACAUUGCCCCCAAAAUCGGGGAGCUCGUUCUGUGCCCACAGGGUCGUUGCGGGGCUCUCACACUUCACAGGCCCCUGCACCCUGGUCGAGGGCCUCUUCUCAGGUGUUGGCAGCACCGUUUCCAAGGGCGGCCCCGUGGCCUGCAGAAGCCCACGUCCGGCCUCCAGGGGGGUGGCGAGAGGUGGCACACAGCGCUGUGGCGGGAAGAGGGUCUCCAUGUUGUCGGGGGGCUGCUCCAGGUUGCCAGGGGCGGCAUCAGGCGUGGCAGCGGCGGCCCUGUGCUGCUGGCGGGCACUGGGCCCCCUCACCUCCCCCACCACAUUGGCGCGAUCUGCCUCAACGGGCUUUACUCCAACCAAGUGCGAUUUCACGGGUUCAAAAGAACUGUUUGCACUCGUCUGAAACACCCCCGUAGGUUUUGGGGGGCUUGGGGUCGAGGGCUGGGACAGGCUGCCAAGGUAGUUCUGGCUGCUGGUCUCGUCUGUCUCGCCGCCGACAGGAGAAGAAUCGAUCUGCUUAAAAAACCUCCCUGGAGACUCAUCCUCAGGUUUUCCCACUUCCUGUUGAAUGAAGGUACCCGAGUCGCGGAGCCUGGCACCUGGAAGGCCCCGGUGGCUCUUGCCGCUGUAACCGGACGACACGCUGUCAGACCGUGCAGGGCGCGCUGUCAUAUCCAGGGCCUCGAGAUUCAGGCCCCCGCCUCCCACAGGGCCCACCGCACCGAGCCUGGGGCCAGCUGGGCCAGGAAGGGGCCCGCACCUGAGCAGAUCGCCUGGGGAGGAAGGAUCCAUGCUGAGGGGCUCGCUCGGCAGAACUUCCUGGUUCUGAACGAACUCCAGGUUCUCAACAUUCUCGUACUGAGCCCCUGCACGGGCCGUGUCCGCCCACACAUCCACGGUGGCCACCUUAGAGGCUGCUUUCUCGUGAGGGCUACCUGCAGACUGAGGGAAGUAAGGCUGUGGCUCCCCCCCCAGCUGCGUGGGCUCGCCGCUGGAGCCUCUGGGAAAGGCCUGGUGAGCGCCUCCUGCGCCCACACGUGUGGGAAGCUGGCCGAGGCAGAAACCGUCCACGUCGGCCUGCCCGGCAGAGCCCGCUGUUUCCAACGAGAGGUUCUCUUCAUUCUCUGUCUCUCCUCCUUUGAAAAACAUGGCGAGUGCGCCCGAGCCCGCCUCCAGUGGGGUCCAGGCACCCCCGGCCCCCGGCGAGCAGUGCGAGUGGCUUUCCAGGCCGUUUCCCUGAGCGAGCGGGCUAACGGCAGCCAGGCCCGACAGCUGCUCUCUGUUCACUCCAGGACUCGACCUGAGCUCCUGGUUUGCCCGAGCAUUUCCAACUCUGGAAUUCUGCCUGAACGCGCUCUCUGGAUCAAAGCUAUUUGCUGAGUGGUCUCCACUGGGCAGGCAGACGGCCUCGUUUCUUCCGUCACUGGCUGAGGGUCCUGGUAAGGAUGCCGGGGGGCCGAGCUGCUCGUGGCCAGGAUGCUGAUGCAGGCUGGACAGAGGGGGAAAGUGGGUGACGCUGGAGGCGUGGGGCCCUGGGAUCUGCGGGGGUCCCUCUGGGCCAGGCCAGUACUGCUGACCCGGGGGCCGUGGGCCUCCCUGCCCUGGCCCCCACUGCCCAGGCACUUGCUGGCAGGGCUGAGGGGGGAGCGGGAGUGCUGCUGGGGGUGCGGCACUGUCGGGGGGGCUCGGCCGGCUCAGGGGUCUGUCAGGCCGAGGCACGUGCCCCUGCGGAAGGCCCCCGCGAGAGCCACUGGACCCCACUGCUGGAAUGUACUGUGGAGGGUACGGCGGGUUCGGGAGCUCAGGCUCUGGGCCGGGAGCCUUGGCACUCCUGUUUGUCUCGGGCCCAUGUGAGGCCGAGGGCAUCGGCGCCCCGGGAAAUGGGCUGGCAUCUGCCCUGGGCUGCACCGGAGGCCCUGGCAGAGGUUCGCAGGGCCCUUGGGAGCUGUCCCCAGUGUUUGUGUGAGGCACGGGCAGACCAGCACGCUGCAGGGAUGAUGGCGAGGGUGGGCCUUGCAAAAUGGGCGGGCUGCUUUUAGACGAACCGCCCAGCGAUGUACUCUGGAGAGCCUGUCGACUGAAAGCAAAAGGAUCUGUCACUGGCUGCAGUGGGCAGGUUAUCGGGGCCAUCGGAGUGUGACUGCCGGCCUGUCUCCUAUAAGGGCUGUUAGACCAGAACAUGGUCUGAGGACUGCCUGGGGCGGCGGCUGCAUGACUGAGCUCUUGCACAAUGAGAUGCUGCUUGCAGAAAGAAGCAGGAGGGAGGCUUUCCUUAAUUUGAACUGAAAAAGAAAAAGAGGAAAAAAAAGUUAGCAUAAAAUCCAUUUAUUCAUAGUCCUGGCUACAAUCAGGAAAACUGAGAAAGAUGAAAAAAAUGGGAAAACAGUUUUGCAUCUUGUAAGUCCUGAGGGAUACACCCACCCCUCGCCCACCCCUGAGAGGACUGCUAUCCUGGGAGCAACAACACCGGCCUGGAUGCCAAGGCUGGCCGUGCUGGGGCCGGCCAAGUGACUUCAGACAAGUCACUGCCCUUCUGUGAAAUUCAGUUAUGUCACCGAGCUACAUACCCAUGUGGAAUGCCCACUGCCUCCACAAUGCCCUCAGCAAGCUGGCAGGGACCAAGCAGAACCCAACACGGGGCACCAGGUACACAGUGCCUCCACAUUUUCCGACAAAUUAUCACUAAGUCCGGAAAGAGCCGCCUCCUCUCUUAAGAUCACAUAUCGUACUUUUCACACAGGUCAAUUUUAUAUUUGGAAAGGAAAACCAAAGUUAAAAGCCUGCUUCUCCAUUUUAACUGAAAAGCGUUAUAAAGCACAGAGUCAGGUAAGCUGCAAAAUAACAACUAUCUGAAUUCUAUGUGCCUAAAACACCUUUUAUCCCAGCCUGUAAAAUGUCUCCUUUUCCACACGGUGACGGGUUGCACACCAUCAGCAAAACAAGCUGCGUCUGAUGACUGGAGCUGUAACAACUAUGCCUGGAAUGAAAAUCCCAAGUAACCAUAAAUCGGUGCUAAAACUGAGCAACUAAGUUCAUUCAAAACUUGUCAGUAAUAAGCAGACGGCCCUCAAGCCCUUGGCGGAAAACAAAGGAGCAGAAAUCCUCUUUACAGCGUCUUUUGUGGUUGUCUGUUUUUUAAUAAAACAUACUAAGUAUAAUCUUGAACAGUUAAUCUGCACUUUUAAGACAAAAAUCCAAGUACCGUCUCUUUACAAAUUCCUCUUCUGUGUGUCAGCCCUCCUCCCCAGCGACACCCUCACAAAUGGAUUAAGAGGAGCCCAUCACAGAGAAGAGCCGAUACCAAAGGGAGAAGUGACAGAAGGGCUCUGCAGCGUCAUCUGCAUGAAGCACCACGUUUCCGUCCUUGGACAGAAGAAAUUCUGGCAAAAGGAAAAGUGAACGAAUGCACAUUAAAUCCAGUCAGUUACUAACGAAAGCUGUCCGCUGCAACUACUGCUCCGACAGGGCCUUCUCCCGGGCCAACAGGGAGUCCUUUCCAAUAGACAAGCACUUUGACACUCACUCAGAUUUCAUGGAAUUAAAUAUACGAAGAACUGCAUCAGCGACUUCCUUUGGUUCUAAGCUGUCAUUUAAAAACUAAGAACACUUACUGCUCAGCUUUACAUGGACCCAGGGGAGAAGAGCAGAGCCUCUUCCUCUUACAUGUGAAAGGGAGGCACCCAAGGCCUCUUCCAAAGACAUGGCCUCCUCCUUGGAAGACUUCAACAGGAAACCCUCAAUCACACUAAACAGCAUAUAUUAAAAAAUAAAAUACAGAGCAUAGGCCCACAGGAUUAAUUCCUUAAGUGUCACCGUGAGAAAAGGACUGGGCGCCAGCUGAAUGGCCCAGCCGCACCGCUGCUCCGUGAGUGACCCGAUUCCUUCAUCUAUAAAGCAAGAGAACUGAAAUGAUGGUUUCAAAGUUCCUUCUGGGUUUAGUCUUAUGAAAUUCUAUUCACAGUGGAUUCUGGAGGCCCUAAUCCCUACAGCUGUUUACGAGCGAAAUCUUACCUGAAUCUAAAUUUCACAAAACAUUUAUACUCAUUUAUUUUCCUUGCAGAAACUUUCUUAGCAUUAUUUUCUCAAUUCCUAAGGAUCACUUCAUAAGCAGACACUAUCACUUCCCUCCAAAGUAGCUUCCCCUUCUCCCCCUGACCACUAAGAGCUUUUCAACAAUAAACUGUUUCAUUUGGAACAAUGAUCUGCCUUGAACAUUAUUCUUUUCAUCUUUUUCUCUAUUCAUCAGCAGAAAAACAAUGCAAGCACAUAUCGUUUAUCUCAACUAUAGGGACUUUCAUUCUGUCCAGUAAGUCAUUCUGUAGCCUCAGGUCAUCUAACUUUAAAAAUGGCAGACUGCUUCAAAGAAACCAGCUGAUCUUCCUAAAGAUAUAUUACUCAUAACUGUAGCUCUUCAAUUAAGCUGCCUUGGAUCUACCUGAAAUAAGCACAACCUGUUUCAAUAUAAAUUUCUGGCUACUGAACUGAGAUAAUGAAAGCACACAUCUCUCCUGCUAGGGCAGCUGCCUCAAGCACGAGCAUGAAAACCAACCGGAGCUCCAAGAAGUACUGGGGAGUCCAGGCUCUGCCCUUGAGGCGACUGCCACACAACAUAUCCAUCAGACUAUGGCAUACCGGCACAAGGACAGCACAGACCCCCAACGCUGCUGAGUACAGAAUCAAACACUGAGAUGCUAGGGAAAAGGAAGGGGGUUUCUCAACACUGCCCAAAGCAACAAAGAGCCAAAAGGACACUCUGACGUUAAGUCAAGAUGCUUACAGAGGCUGGAGGGAACCGUGUUAAAAUUUACACGCUACCCUAAAGAAAACUUUUGAGACUUAAACUGCAGUAACUUGCUGUUAAGGCAUUAUGAGUCACAAAAAACAAGAAAGAAAGGACUUUUUGCCUCCUGCUGGAUCUCUACAAGACAAGAGCACCUGGAACCCUAAGAAAGAGCAUUGCAGUGGGGCGGGGGAGGUGGGAAGAAGGGCAGUGCAGACACCUGAACAAGUGUCACCCUAGGAACAACUGUUUGUGACUUAAGUUUGCUUCUUAACCAUUUCCAGGGACGGGAAACACCUCUCUAGUUAACCUCUACAUCGAACAAAAUCUUAAUAAGCAACCCAACCACCAAGCCACUUAAAACUUUACAUAAAACAGCAAAACUGAUUUUAGGUGGCUGUCUCACGUCCAAGACGCUCUACAAUAAUACUUUCAUCACAGAAAGGGCAGGUUGGUGGACACACUCCUCUGCCCCUUGAUAUAAAACACAGUGCCUGACCUCGGUUGCAACAUCUUGGUGACCUCCCCACGAGAUUACCAAUAGACUCAACAAGGCUGUAGUUCCUCGGUUCAAAUGUCAAUGUACCUCAACGCCGGCACGGCUCAGCAGAAACCACACCGCGGACCCUUCGAAGCAAAGGGCACGCUAAACUGUGAAAGGAAUUCCCGAGAUGUUUCUGCUCUCUAAAGAGUUGCAGGUCUGGCUUUUCCUCCAGCCUUUCCAACAUAACCCCACACCGAGACCACAACGGCCAGGGCUCACACAACUGACCCGACAGCCUGUGCAGGUGUGGGGCCACGUCAGCACUCAUGGUGGUCGCCUGGCCUGCUCGGCCCGCAGGCUCCCGCCCGAACCCCCCGGCGCCUCCGCCCGAGGUCCCCGGCGGCUCCCCGGAGACGCUCCCGUUCGCUUCGAGCUGGGCCCGGUCCAGUCGCCUCCCUCCGCCCCAACCCAGACCCUCACCGGCGCGCUGCAGGGAGGCCCAGGCCCCCGCCGGCUCCUGCCCGUUCGCUCCGCGACCCCCGGCUCCGGCUCCUCAAGAGCCGCGCGAAGAAGACGGCUCGGCGGUUGCGACAAGCGCCGACACAGCAGCAGCGGCAGCCAUCUUGGCACAUCCGGCUCCGGGGGCCGCGGCCUCCGCUCCGCCGACGUGUC
rnacentral:lncRNA from 1 species